rnacentral:rRNA from 1 species
GGUGAACGCUGGCGGUGUGCCUAACACAUGCAAGUCGAGCGACAGCACAAUAAGAUCGUGCUCUUGCGGUUGGCGAGGGGCGGGCGAGUGAGGAGUACAUCGGAAUCUUCUUUUUCUGGGGUGAUAACGGAGGAAAACUUACACUACUACCGCAUACGACCUACGGGAUAGAUCAAUAGAUCUUCACACCUUUCGCGAUUGUAUUAGCCGACGCCGGAUUAGCUAGUUGGCAAGGUAAGGGCUCACCAAGGCAACGAUGCGUAGCGGACCUGAGAGGAUGAUCAGCCACACUGGAACUGAGACACGGUCCAGACUCCUACGGGAGGCAGCAGUAGGGAAUCUUCCGCAAUGGGCGAAAGCCUGACGGAGCAACGCCGCGUGAGUGAUGAAGGUCUUCGGGUCGUAAAGCUCUGUUAUUAGGGAAGAACAAAUGUGUAAGUAACUAUGCACGUCUUGACGGUACCUAAUGAGAAAGCCACGGCUAACUACGUG